AACCCUGGCAUGCGCCCCGAUAGGGAAUCAAACUAUGACCUCCUGGUUCAGAGGUCAAGGCUCAACUAUUGAACCACGCUGGCUGGGCCAUUGAUUGUUUCUUAUUUUUGGGGGGCUAAGUGAAGCCCAAUAAUUUGGAGGGAUUCUUAUCUUAAAAUACAGAGUCUCAGACUUACAGAAAUCUGCAUUUUCCUUAUCUCCCCAGGUAAUUUUCAGAAGCUUUCAAACUCAUGAUUAGAUACCUAAAUUGUAUUUACAUUGGUCUUAAACUAAGAAUGUCAAUCCUCGGUGAAAAUCAGUAUAUCCUGGUAAAUUAGCCAUGUGACUUCCGAGUGGUGCUGAUUUCCAAAGCUGAGAUAAUGUAAAAUAUUACAGUGAAGCAUUAUUAAGCUUGAAGUUCAGCCAUAUAGAGAAUUUGUUUAGGUGUGACAGAGUUGAUGGCUACAUUUUAUUUAUCUAAGUUAAGGCUUAUUAUUAGCUAUGAAAAGGAUUGGCAUAAACUGCUCAUUAACAUUGAUUAACUGUUUCUCUAAAAGGACUAAACAAUACAAGCACAGGGCAGGCGUCAGUCAGAAAACGCCAUACUUUAUAACAUUUCCCCCAUUUGCUCUUUUGUGUGCUGUUUCAGAAAUUGUAAAUCUGCUACUCUAUUUCCCAAAAUCUUUUCCUCCCUCCUUAGAUUCUUAACCUUGUAUUAUGAAUACUGGAACGUUACUUAGAUCAUCUGUUCCAGCUCUCUUCAAUUCCAAAGUGAUACUAUUUUAAGAAGGCAUGGAAGGGAAAAUCCACAAAAUAUGCCUGGAGUUGUCAACCUUGUAAAUGACACAUAGUGAAAGCUUAGUCGUGGAGGAUUGUCACAGAGCCUGAUGUUAGCUCGGGAAAUAUGUGUCAUCUUAGAGAACUGACAGGAAAAGGGUACCAGGGAAAAGCCUGCUGGGCACCAAUUCCAGGAGCCUGGCCUGAGAGGCAGCCCUCUCUGUUAAGCAGGAGUAUAAAUAUUUUGCGGGUUAUGCAGGAAAGCAGAUUAUAUUCCUCUGCUUCUUAAAGUAUUUUAUAUAGUUACUUGGCACAGAAGUUGUACAUAAUCUCCUCUGGCUUUCCCCCCAAACAAACAGACCCCAUAGCUGGAAAUGUCCCAGACCAUGGGGAAACUGUCAUUUGGAUUUUUCCCUCUGCCUGCAGCGAGGGAAGGGAGCAAAGGAGAGCACUUGAGAAUGUUCUUGGCAAUGGCCAUGAAAAGUAAAGGAAGUGAAAAUCCUCAAAGGUCAAGUAUACUUUCAAACCUCCAACUGGGCCACAUCUGAAAGAGAUCCCUUCCUUGUCAUUUCUAGGAAAGGGGUAGGACAUGAAAUUCACUGCACAGCCCUGCCAACCGAUGUGUAAUUUACAAUGCUUCUCUCAUCUUCAGCUUUUACCUUUUCAAAAAAAGAAGAAGAAUGAAACAAAAAUUCCAUAGAAAAUGCUAUUCUGACCUUUGGUCUUCCUUUUAUCUGGGUAGGACUAGGUGGAUGUCUUAGCGGGGGCUGCUAUUACAAAAUACCACAGAUUGGGUGACUGAAGCAACAGAAAAUUUUUUUCUCACAGUUCUGGAGGCUGGAAGUCCAAGAUCAAGGUCUUUGCAGGUUUGGUUUCUCCUGAGGCCUCUCUCCUUGGCUUGCUGAUGGCUGCCUUCUGCUGUGUCUUCACAUGGCCAUUUCUCUGUGCAUGAGUGAGAGAGAUCUCUGUUGUCUCUUUGUUUUCCAGUCCUAGUGGAUUAGGGCCCAUGCUUAUGACUGUAUAUAACUUUACCUCCUUAAAGGUGCUAUCUCUGAGUAUAGUCACAUUGGCCUAAAGGCUUCAAUGUAUGACUUUUGGGGUAACACACAUUAGUUUAUAAACAGUUGGCUACAUCACGCUUCUGGAUAGACACAGUGUACCCCCUCUUCAGUAUUUAUCAGUCCUCAGCUAUUUAAUGUACACGGAUGGUGUCUUUAUCCCCAGAAAGUCAGAGGGACCAUGAAAGAUAUUUGUUCUGCUUCUGCACCCUAAGUCAUUGAAACCAAGUUUCGCUUUAGCAGUCUUCACUCUGCCUGUAUGAACUUCCUAUGUAUGACCUCUUUGGCAUAUAAAGCAUAUAUUUAACCUGAAGAGAUUUGAAGGCUUUUGAAAACUUGUCUUUUUGCUAAUUUAUCUAUACUCUUUUAGGCUCCUGGAGAGAAUUUUUUUUGUGAAGAUCAGCUUGUCAAAAAUGACCCCUAAAGUGAAAUCGAUAUGCUGAAUUUUAUGGAUGACUCCCACUGUCCCGAAUUCACUCAUCUUAGUUGCUGAGCGUAGGAAUGACAGCAGACUCAGUUUUGGCAUUCAUGUCAUCACCCUGGAGUUAGUAAAACCUUAAACCAGCCAGGCAUCGGGCAUGCAUUUUGCUGCCAGGGACAGCUCAGCUUCUGGUGUCUUAGAGAGGAUGUGACAUAACCUCUGUGCUUCCAAGGUGUUUGAAACUAAAGACCUUCUAUUUCCUUGCUGAGCUUAAGAGUUGACAGUGGUGUCCAAAAUUCCCAUGGUCUUACCAGGAUAAGCCAUGCUGCCACUGAUGGCCAAGAAAGGCAGGUGGAUGUGUGCCCUGUAGAAGGGUGUUGGGAGAGAGAGCUGAGAGCUGAAACAAAGCAACAUUUAGUAGCCACUGAAACACGUUCUGGUGCUUGGAGCGUGAACAUCUCUGCACUGAUGGGGCUAAAUUAAACUCUUAGAUUAUAGAGCUCUUUUAUUCCUCAACCCCUGUCUCCCUAUCCCAGCCUUGAAUGCAGAGCUCACCAAGAAACCACACUCUACCCCAAUGCAAUGAUUAGAGCGAGAAACAGUUAUCUUAUCAGCAAAUGGUUAAUAUUCACUUAUGAGCAGUGUAUUAGUUUCUUAGGGUGGCUAUCACAAAUUACUACAAAUUGGGUUUGCCUGAAGCAACAUUCUCUCAUCAUUCUGGAGGCCAGAAGUCCAAAAUCAGGGGGUCCAUCUGCAGGGCUGUGCUACCUCCGAAGGCUCUGAGGAGCAUCUGUUACUUUCCUUUCUCUUGUUUGUGGUGCUGCCUACAACCCUUAGCAUUCCUUUGGCUUGUAGAGACAUCACUCCCAUCUCUGCUUUCAUCUUCAAGUCAGUAUUCUCCUUUUGUCUCUGUCUCUGCGUGUCUUCUCCAGUAUGAUCAAGAGCCUGCCUUAUUCCAGGAGAGUCCACCCUAGUCCAUAUUGGAUUGAGGUCCUAUCUUAUUCUAGUAUGAUCUCACCUUUACUUGAUUGCAUCAGCAAAGAGCCUAUCUCCAAAUGAGCCAUACUCACAGGUAUCAGGGAUUAGGACUUCAGCAUACCUUUUUGGGGAACAUAAUUCAACCCAUAUCAGGCAGUUUAGUUUUUUCUUUCCCUUGACUUAUAUGAAUUUGAAAAAUUGACCAAGUUUCUCCCUGAAACAUUAUCAAAUUUAAGUCAGGUUCUGCUUGUCUUGAAUUGAUGAUCUCUUUGUAUAAAAAGAAUAAUUUACAUAUUUAAUUGGUACAAAUUGUGAAAGGCUUUAAAUGCUUUGCAUUUGCUUGAGGCUGAUUAAUGAGUAAAUUUGUAAACUGUGGCUGUUUUAAUUUGCCGGGGUUAAUUAAUGUUUACUGCACUUGGAAGAUGAAAAGACAUAUAUAAAUGCACCGUAAUGUGAAUCAUUUUUUAAUUUGUUGUGGAGCAUAAAGUAUAUUCAAAUUGCUUACAUCACUUUUUUUAAAAAAGGCUGUUGGAACACUAUGGUAAUUAGUGGAGAGGACUCUAAAAUGUUGAGGUGAAUUAAUGACAUAUUAUUGAAGAUAUCCUGUUUUAAUACUAUAUAUUCCAAGAAAGGUAGUUAUAUUUUUACUCUCAUUAUGUAAAAAGUAAAGAGUAGAAAACUCAGAGGUCAAAAUUGAUAAUUAUAUAGUGUAUCAUAAUUUAGAUAAAGUCUGGAUUUGUUUGUUUUUGCUUUGGCUUUUUAGUUCUGAGUUGAGACUUUUGGAGCAGGGUAGAAAAAAAAGGCUAGCUGUGCUGAAAUGAAAAUAAGAUUUAAAGCAACAUUUUUAAAGAGAAGAAAUUACUAGAAUUUUUUGUAAAUUUUCAACUGGAGAUGCAUCGGGGGCUGGGAUGAGGUCUAGUGCUGAGACUGGGAAGUGAUUAGAAGGAAAGACUCGGGUAAGGUCUCCCCUAUGAGGCUGGAAGCUGAGCAUCAUGGAAAGCGAUUGCCUCAGGCAGUGAAUGAAUGGGUUCUCCAUUCUUGUGAGGAGGUGGCCAUCUGGGGCAAUUUUCCAACAUGAUCAAUGGAACACACCUCUGGCACCAGGAUCCAUAGUUCACGAGGCAACUUAAAGUGGCGCUGGCCUCGGGGAUACCACCCCAUUCCACGUCACCAUUACCUGAAAAGAAGGCGAAUCCACGGUUAAGGAAGCAAAAAGCUAACAGGCUUUGCUAACCAAUACGUCCCUCUAAAGAUAAAGUCCGUCAAUUGAGCAUUUACCAGAUGAAUCCAUUGGAAUGCACUUCCUUCAUAGCAGAGAAUGAUUGCUGGCUGUUGGGAGAGGCACUGGUUCCCAUUCCUUUGGUUUCAUUGGGUCCGCCCCAGGAUAUCUGUUACCCAGGUGCAACUGAGGGUACACGGGGAAGCUGAAAUCCAGUCUUCAUGCAGCUACAAGCCAUGUGCCCUGUGCGUGACUCACUCCCCAAAGAAAGCAGCACAUGGCCUUUAUGAGAAAUAAAGGUGAUGCUUUCGUCUCCACCUGCUCUCUCUUGAUUGGUGCAGAGCUCAGGUGAGAAAGGAGACAUUAUGGAUUGAUGCCCAGACACCCCAACACCAGCAGCAAAGGCUCCAGGACAGGAUGGGCCCAGAUUAUAUAAAGACCCCUGGAUGACAUUGCCUUUAUUAAAAUAUGUGCAAGGGAAGUAAAACCGUAUUUGAGUAUUUUUCAAAAAUAAUCUUCCUCGCCCUGGCUGGGUAACUCAGUUGGAGGGUCAUCCCAUCCACCAAAAGGUUGCAGGUUGGAUUGCCCAUCAGA